AACGCUGGCGGCGUGCUUCAGGCAUGCAAGUCGAACGGACCUUCGGGUCAGUGGCGGACGGGUGAGUAACACGUGAGCAACCUGCCCAGAUGUGGGGAAUAACCCACCGAAAGGUGAGCUAAUACCGCAUGUGAUGGACCUUCCCUGGAGGGUUCAUCAAAGGCUUCGGCCGCAUUUGGAGGGGCUUGCGCUCGAUUAGCUAGUUGGUGGGGUAAUGGCCUACCAAGGCGACGAUCGAUAGCUGGUCUGAGAGGACGGUCAGCCACACGGGGACUGAGAUACGGCCCCGACUCCUACGGGAGGCAGCAGCUAGGAAUCUUGGGAAUGGGCGAAAGCCUGACCCAGCAACGCCGCGUGGGCGAUGAAGGCCUUAGGGUCGUAAAGCCCUUUUGUGGGGGACGAUGAUGACGGUACCCCACGAAUAAGCCACGGCUAACUACGUGCCAGCAGCCGCGGUAAUACGUAGGUGGCGAGCGUUGUCCGGAUUUACUGGGCGUAAAGGGCGCGCAGGCGGUCUGUUUAGUCUAGGGUGAAAGCUCCCGGCUCAACUGGGAGAGGUCCUUGGAUACUGGCAGACUCGAGGGAGGCAGAGGAAAGUGGAAUUCCCGGUGUAGUGGUGAUAUGCGUAGAUAUCGGGAGGAACACCAGUGGCGAAGGCGGCUUUCUGGGCCUUACCUGACGCUGAGGCGCGAAAGCGUGGGGAGCGAACCGGAUUAGAUACCCGGGUAGUCCACGCCGUAAACGAUGGACACUAGGUGUGGGGGGUAUCGACCCCCUCCGUGCCGCAGCUAACGCAAUAAGUGUCCCGCCUGGGGAGUACGGCCGCAAGGCUAAAACUCAAAGGAAUUGACGGGGGCCCGCACAAGCAGCGGAGCGUGCGGUUUAAUUCGUCGCAACGCGAAGAACCUUACCAAGGCUUGACAUGCUAGUGGUACUGAUCCGAAAGGUGAGGGACCCUUCGGGGAGCUAGCACAGGUGCUGCAUGGCUGUCGUCAGCUCGUGCCGUGAGGUGUUGGGUUAAGUCCCGCAACGAGCGCAACCCUUGUCCUAUGUUGCCAGCACGUAAUGGUGGGGACUCAUGGGAGACUGCCGGGGAUAACUCGGAGGAAGGUGAGGACGACGUCAAGUCAUCAUGCCCCUUAUAUCCAGGGCUGCACGCAUGCUACAAUGGUCGGUACAACGGGCAGCGAACUCGCGAGAGUCAGCGAAUCCCUUAAAGCCGGCCUUAGUUCGGAUUGGAGUCUGCAACUCGACUCCAUGAAGUCGGAGUCGCUAGUAAUCGCGGAUCAGCAAAGCCGCGGUGAAUGCGUUCUCGGGGAUUGUACACACCGCCCGUCAAGUCACGGAAGUCGGCAACACCCAAAGUCAGUGGCCUAACCCUUCGGGGAGGGAGCUGCCUAAGGUGGGGUCGGUAACUGGGACUAAGUCGUAACAAGGUAAC
rnacentral:rRNA from 1 species